GUAUAAUGGGUCAGCGACUUAUAUUCUGUAGCAAGGUUAACCGUAUAGGGGAGCCGAAGGGAAACCGAGUCUUAACUGGGCGUUAAGUUGCAGGGUAUAGACCCGAAACCCGGUGAUCUAGCCAUGGGCAGGUUGAAGGUUGGGUAACACUAACUGGAGGACCGAACCGACUAAUGUUGAAAAAUUAGCGGAUGACUUGUGGCUGGGGGUGAAAGGCCAAUCAAACCGGGAGAUAGCUGGUUCUCCCCGAAAGCU
rnacentral:rRNA from 1 species